rnacentral:lncRNA from 1 species
GCCUCCCGAGUGCUGGGAUUAAAGGCGUGCGCUACCACGCCUGGCACAAUGUUUUUUAAUAAGUGAGUUUUAGCCAUUUACAUUUAUUGUGAUUGCUUAAUAUACGUGUGCUUAUUUUUUUAAAUUUGUAUUCAUUUAUCUUGCUUUUCAUCUACCCCUGUAUUUUAUAUUUUAUUUCAAAAUUUCUAUUUACAUUUUAUUACAUUUUAUCAUGCAUAGUGAACUAUAGCUUUAUUCCUAAUAAAAAUUAAACUUAAACAGAAUCUGUGUCUUCUCAAACAACACAAAGGUGUUUGUACACUUUACCUCUUAGAAUGAACUGCUAAUUACAACCUAAAACACUGGCAGUGAAAUGUCAAACUACUUACUCAUGGAGGGAUUGGACACACAGUGAUUAAUGGGGAAGGUCUGAACUUUUUUGCUAAUUCACUGUGUUUUGUAAAUGUAACUUUUACUUUCCUGUUGUAAUUGUUUCCUUGGAGGCUUACUGCCUCCAUCUUUAAUGUAGGCUUAGUCCUGGAAGCUUCCAGCUUCCAUACAAUCUAAUCUAGACCUAGAAUGGUUUUUUUGUUUGGUUGGCUUUUGUUUUUAAAAGAAUUAUUUAUUCAUUAUAUGUAAGUACACUGUAGCUGUCUUCAGACAUCCCAGAAGAGGGCAUCAGAUCUCAUCACGAUGGUUGUGAACCACCAUGUGGUUGCUGGGAUUUGAGCUCAGGACCUUUGGAAGAGCAAACGGUGCUCUUAACCACUGAGCCAUCUCUCCAGCCCCCUAGAAUGUUUUUAGCCUCUGAGACUUACUUCUGAAUAAGCUCACCCUUUCUUGUUUCUUCUGAACUAUAGUUAGCUAGUUUAGCUCAGCUCUUCUGGCUCAAAAUCCUCUCAAGCUGACUGAUCAAUCUAGCUUCUUUCAAUUUCUAACUGAAUUGCUCUGCUUGGCCUCAUACUAACGUUGGCAAUAUGUUCUAAUCUUCUGGCUCUUUCUCAUUCUCUGGCUUGCUCUGUCUUCACCUGUGUCUAGCUUGUUCUCUCUCUGCAACUUGUCUCUGUAAUAUUGUCCCAGUAAAACUUCCUCCUUUCCUUUUCUCUCUCUGUACUGCACUCUCUUAAGUAGCUUCUAUUUCCUGUCUGUUCUCAUGAGAAUUGAGCAUGUCCUAUUCUGUCAAAUCUUUCUCUGAUUCAUCACUUUGUCUGCCACUCAAUUAAACAUAAUUUUCAAUCAUGGAUGCUUCCUUCUACAAACUAACUUUAUCUUCAUUGUUUGUGAUUAAAGGUGUGUAUUAAGAGCAUGUCUGUAUUCCAGAGGGAUUAAAGGUAUGUGUUAAGGGCUAAGCCACACCACAUCUAGAAACAGAUUUUUUUUUUCAAUAAAUAACACAAUCUCCAGGCUCAAAUAUCUUUCAAAAGUGCUUUAUACCUUGACUUAUUUGGGACAUCUCUCAAAUUUAGAGUGAUACACUAAAUGUAUCAUUCAUGUCCUGUAAAAACUUAUCUCUCAAGUUCCUUUUAAAAUGAUUCCUUAAAGUGGAACUCAGAAUUCUAAGGUGCCGUGAUUUCUAGUGGGAAUGUCAGAAAGGCCCUCCCAUCUUAGCACCUGUUUUCCUGUUCUAGAAUCUCUAUCCUGAAUGCACAUACAGACCCAUGCAGAAUCACGUUAGAACAUAGAUUCUGACUCAGCAAUGCCUCCGUUGGGUAAUAUGGUGCUUUUGCUCCACGGACUUGACUUUAAGGAGCAAGGACUGGGAGAGCUAAAUACAGUUAGGAAAAAUUGCGGGUUUUAGCUCUCGGUCAGAGGUCCCUGAUACCUCCCAGAUCCUUGGUUACCAGACGAAACUUUGUGCAGUGGUUUGGGAUUUGGCAUAAUUUUAUUUCUGAAGGUCACUCUUUAUGCUUGGCAGAAUCCCCAAGCCGAAAGGUCCCCCUUCUAGCCCAGGUCCCAUUGACAGAAAGCGAGUGAUCAUCCAGAAUUCUGCAUGUUCCUCUGCGUCCAUUCCUGCUGAGGUCAAGGCUCUGUAUUUUGAUGGGGCUCUACCAGUCAGUGCCCUGAGGAAAUGCUUGCUCAAGACCGGGGCAGGCUGCCUGGUAAAUGUAUGUUUAAGACAAGCUUUUAAUAGAGACUCACUUUUAAAUAGUAACCAGGAACAAGACUCUCUUCUCUUAACAGGAAUCCAUUUAUAGGACUCAGCUGUUGAGGCUCAAGGGUAGCAUUAGGCUUAAGUUUAAUCUUCUGUAUACUGUAAUUUACAGCAGCAAGGAAAGCACUGUAUGUACAACUGUUUCAGUCAUUCGCCGUGAUAAAUAGCUAUCGCUCCUGGCGAAACAGAAAAUGUGAUCUCCACUUCCCACUUAUGAAUAUUGAAUUGGCCCCAGCAGGCGUAUGCUGCACAGGUUUAAUGGGGGCAUUCCCUGAUCGGUGAGAAGGUCUCCUGGCCCCAACUGUCACUUUGCUGCCACGAACACCAAGUUGGUCUCUAUCCAGGUGACAGUGGUGUGGUACAUGUAUGUUCCUGGUGAACCUUACAAAGUACUUGUGUUGAUCUUAAGUGGAAAGCUGGUUAAAGGUGGCAGCUUUACACUGGGUGCUAUUAGAGAUGUUGUUACUGAGGUAGGGAGCCACCCAUAGGGAUCAGAGGAUUGUCUUGGGUGAUUAUCUGAUGCAGGAAAAAGAAAAGAAGUGUGAUUGUGUUGAAUUCCUGAAGGAUAUCAAUCAGGGAAACGGAAAUGAAUGGGUGCAAAAGAGAGGUGAGAUAAAGGGGAGCCACUCUUGGGAACCCAGAACCUAAUGUAACCUCUACCAAAUUCCUCUCAGUUCAGAUAUUUCAUUGUCUGCUGAUGGGCUGGCACAUAAUAUGUAUUUAGGUACGACACCCAGGUGGAAUGGCCUUCUUUACCCAGCAAUUCACUCUUUUUCCCCCCAAAAGAAAGCAGUCUUUCCUUACUCCCCAAAGAAACGGAUAGAAGUCCCUAGGUUGCAGUCUUUGAUUGUCUCUCAUUUUCCGAGCACUCAUGAUGGGCUAGACACCAUGCCGGAUGGUGAGAUGAAGAGUGCAGAGCACAUGCGAGCUGUGCUGCUGUCUGCGUCUGACGCUGUGACAUAGAUGCUGUCUCCCAUGGUCACACUCCCUGGUGCCACCUCUCAGCAGUGUCUCCCUGCAAAUAGCUCCCUCUGAAAACAGCCAUGAGCCACUUGUGUGCUUGCUGCUGCCUUUGGCAGUGGAGUGUCUGUCAACCUUUAGGGGGCCCUUACAUUGCCACAGCAUCUCGCUGUGUGUACACAAGCACUGUCCCACAGUCUGCGCAUUUGGGCUUACAGAGAAACGCAGGGAGUAGCACCCCUGGGAGUGGUAGCUUUACAGAUUUCGAAGCUCCAAGAGAAAACAACAAGAAAAUGCAAAACAGAGACUAAGGUCACAGGAUUGGAACUGAGGCUAGCAUCCGACUCUGUAUUUGUAGCAGAGGACAGCCUUGCUAGGCAUCAAUGGGAGGGAAGGUCCUUGGUCCUAUGAAGGCUCAAUAGAUGCCACAUUGUAGGGGAAUCUAGGGUGGGGAGGGGAGAGUGGGUGGGUGGGUGGAAGAACACCCUCAUAGAAGCAGGAGGGGGGAAUGAGAUAGGGGGUUUCUAGGAGGUGGGGGGAAACCGGGUAAGGGAAUAACACUUGAAAUGUAAAUAAAUUG